rnacentral:sRNA from 1 species
AACGCUGGUUCCGUGCCUAAGAAAGCAAGUCGAACGAGAAAGGGGAGCAAUCCCUGAGUAAAGUGUCCCCCGGGUGAGUAACACGUGACUACCUACCUUUUAGUGGGGGAUAACUCCGGGAAACCGGAGCUAAUACCGCAUAACAUCGGUGCUCGCAAGAGUGACGAUCAAAGCAGCAAUGCGCUGGAAGAGGGGGUCGCGGCUGAUUAGCUAGUUGGUGAGGUAAUGGCUCGCCAAGGCGAAGAUCGGUAUCCGGCCUGAGAGGGCGCACGGACACACUGGAACUGAAACACGGUCCAGACUCCUACGGGAGGCAGCAGUGGG